UUUUUCUAUGUGUUAUAGUUUGAUUCACUACUCGUAGGGCCUUCAUUAAAUCAACGUAAAAAUUUGAUGCAUGUGUUCAAAACAAGAUGAAGAUCUAAAGUUAACGAAAUUGCAACUUUUCAUAAUACUGUGUGACCGUGGUGUGGCUUCCAGUUUGAGGAAUGAAAACAUCUAUAUCUGGCAGAUGUGCUGCAAUAUUUAGUCACUAGAUGGCAGUGUCAGACCAUGCUUUGUGUUAUCUAUGCAUUAACAGACUGUGUUUACAGGGUGGCCAACUUUAGAGGAGAAUUAAACCUUUUACAGCAUUGCUCAAACUUUGGUUUUAGUCUCAAUCGCUAAGUUCUUCCUUCAUGACAACUCUGAGGGGGGUGUAUUUUAUUUUAACUCCCUUGUUUAAGCGAUAUAGAUGUUUGAAAUUCACGUGACGUCACAGUGUAAGCUGUGCUGUGUGUUGUGAGUUCGGCUUUCACCAGUUACACGUGAACGCCUCAUGAAAUGGCUUACACCCACAUACCCGGUAAAUUACACACUUUGAUGUUCUGCUCCUUCUCCUGACGGUCACGGUAACGAUGUCUGCGCCUCCGUUUCUGUGGAUGUCCAGCGUGAGACACAACUUGAAUCCAACCAGACUGAACACUGACUCCAGGUACAGACCUGUUUUCAUUACUUACAAAGUAUUGCACAUAAUACAUAAUGUGUUAAAUUAUAAUGCAAUACUUUUAAUGUGAAAUAGCUCCAUACUAAACAUUCAUUGUCAUGGUAGUGCACGUUUUAAUCCAAAAGCAUAUUCAAAUACAUAGUUGAAUAUCCACCGAAAAUAAGAAUACACACUUUGUUCAUAUGUAACUCUAAUAAAUACUGUAUAAGUUACAUUUUGCUCCGGAAUUGAACUGUGUUAAAGCGGUUCACAUGGAAAAUAUAUGUUCAAUUAUGUGAAGGGUGAUUUUCAUUACUAUUAUACUAAUGGAGAUUUAGCACUUGCUACACAUUGUAAGAGCAGCUGUGCAAAGGAGCACUACGUAUCCUAAGGCUCUUUAUUCAGAGUCACAGUGUUGAUGUCCUGUCACGUGUUACAGUGAAAAAUAACCGUGUCUACUAGUGUUUACAUCGUUAAUCUCAGGCAGACUUCCCUGAAUUAUUUUGUUAAAUAUAAAUACAUUAUAGCCGUGAACUUUACUAGAACAGACAGUGUUCAUAGAGAAUUUGAAAAUGAUGUACACUACCUAUUUCCUAAGAUGAAAUGAUUAUGAUCUGAUUAUUUUUAUGUUUCCUCUCAUUUUAUUAGGGACGGACGAGCCUGAAGGACACAGCUGUGAUGACCAAUUGACCAUGUUUUGUCUCUUAUGGCAAAGCAGAAAUAUUAAACACUGGGUUCUUAUCUAAAGUGUAUCAAAUCAGAAAGCAAAAGAUACACAUUGUUGUUAUAAGUUUUUAUUAUUUUAACCAACCAUAAUGAAGAUAGAAAUGAAUUCUUAUCCAUGCCACUUAGCAAUGACUGCCACCACCAAACAGUUGCAGGCCAUCUUUAUUUAAGGGAGGAAUUUAGAAGUGUUGUGUAGCUUCUGAUGAUGAUGCAGUCGUCCACGUGUUGACCACCAUGUUGCUGCUGACGACGUCAGGUGCUGCAGUUCCUCAUCUAUAAAGAGAAGAAACGCACUGUUAAAGAAUGUUUUGAGUUGUGUAUGAAGCACAACAGAUUUCAGAUAGAACCGUUGUACUGUGGUCUGGGUUUGUAUCCUAAUGGUUAAAUGCACAUAUUUUAAGUCGCUUUUGAUAAAAGUACUGAAAGAAAUACAACAUUGUAAAAAUAGAUAAAAUGUCUUUCUACCUCAUCUGUAAUAUUCAAGGUGAUAAUCUCCCACAGAGCUAUUGAUAACAGUCCACAUCAAGUCUCUCCACUUCCCUCAGUGUGAAAACAUAAUUAUAUAAUUAAUUUGAGAACUGUUUACAACACUGAUGUGUGGAGAUUAAAAUCAUAUCUAAACUGUCUAAUUCACUGUAAAACUCCAUGACAUUCGCAGGCCAUCUGUAGUUAAGGGAGCAACGUAUGGAGUGAUGUGUAGAGGGCAGAAACUUGGACUAUGGGCAGAGAAGGUCUCUGGUUCGUCUCCGGUUCGACUCCACGGAGAGACAACAAAAGACAAACCUGGAUUGAUCUGUCCAAAAAUCCAAGAGUCUCCCUACCCUCUCUAGUGCCCCUGAGCAAGGCACCUCACUCCCCCAACAUCUGCUCCGUGAGCGCCGUACAUGGUCGCUCACUGCUCUGUGUGUCCUGCACCAGAUGGGUAAAAAGCAGAGAUUAAAUUUCCCUACCUGCAUGAGUGUGCCUUUGCAUGUCUGUGCAUGUGUUUGGGACGAAUAAAUGGAUCUUAAUCUUAA